rnacentral:lncRNA from 1 species
CUGACCGAGCUCCUACGGGAGGACGCCCUGGCGAGCGUGGUUCUGAGUUCGGCGCGCCCCGAGGGUAAGAGUAGUUGCAUUAUCUUCUUUUUUUUGUCUAUUCUUUCUUUUUACUAACAUUGGUCUGAUACUUAGGAGAAUUUUUGAUUUCAGACAUUCCUCAUAUGCCGACUAGCAAUACGUCCCUUUUCUCGCGAAUAAAGAGGCGAGAGGCCGAGGCCGGGGGGGCUAUUCCCCAGCCUCGGAAAAAGUCAAGAUCGGCCGGUGCUUCUUCAUCGGCCGGGGGGAGAGGUCCAGAGGCGGGGGCCUCUGCAGCCGACCAGGGGCGGAUGUCGGCCGUCGGCGAUGCGGGCUCGG